GCACCUUUAGUUCAGUUGAAUAGAACGUCUGACUACGGAUCAGGAGGUCGAAGGUUUGAGUCCUUCAAGGUGUACCA
rnacentral:tRNA from 1 species